ACUGCCCUAGAGGCACCACUGGCAGCCGAGCCUUGCUCACCGUAGAGGUGGGUUGUUACAGCAAUUUUCGGUAUCUGUUGCUCACCGCACCACAACCUGUUCACCGCGCCUUUACUGGCAGCCGAGCCUGCCUACCGCGCCUUGUCAGCAGCCGCAAUCCGGAGUACGUCGACCUAGUCCGCGGAGUAGUUUAGUGUAUAGGGAGACUGUCGGCAUAAAAAUCGAGUGUUAGAAUAAAGCUUGUACCACGUCUCUGAGAGUGUCCUUUCGAGGUGAGGGAGCUCCUCGGGGACCUACCUGCCCAGCCAGCCAGCAGGCCAUCAAGCAAGUCAGCCCUACUACUGCAGGGAAAGGAAUACCGCAGAGCCAAACCAGCCGCAGCAAGAGGGCUGCAAGUCAACAACAUGAGGAUCGCGAGGCAGCGCCCCGCUGUAAGAUUACAAUGUACCAAGCCAACAGAGCCAGAGCUUUACAACAAAGAACGUGUCCUGGAAGAGGCAGCACGUUUCAACGUUUACCACGGGUCAGCACGAUAAACAAUUAAAACGAAGCUUUGGCCUCUAUGUGGACGUAUGCACGUUCCAGGUGAACGUUCUUCGGCCACCGCCAAACACCUGGCACCACGAUGCGCAGAGGAACACAAGUUGCGGAGACUGCAGAUACUGCAGAGCGGCUAGGCGACCAACCAGUCGACACCGAGAUGCACAACCGACACCGUAGGUGAAUGCCCGGCUUCCUCGAGGGCGAUCGGCCAAUCACGACGUGACCAGAAGCUGCCAGCUCACAGCAGAUGACUUGAUGCCCGGUAUCUCAAACCCCCAUGUCAUAACGUGGACCCAGACACCCCAACAGAGGAUAGAGCACGUACCGGAUGAUAAAAAGUCCUUCAAGAGUGGUUUCCCUGGUUAGGAGGGUGGGAAUUUAUCUUCCGGGGGUGCGCUAAUUGCAAAGUACAUCUCUCCCUGCUGUAGUUAAUAAAUAAUAAAUUUUAAAAACGUUUUUAUAUGUUCUAUUAUUUGGUGAAACUGGUUUGGAGCAGCAGAAGAUAUUCUUGAGAUUAAUUAUUUUAGACUUCAUUUUCAUUAAAUAUGUUUAAUUUAUUUGGCCGUAUUUAAUAAUACUAUCUCCUCAGGGAAGGGGAGGGAGAGGAGAUUGCUUGGGAGAAAUUAUGUGUGCGAGAUACCAAAUAAAUAUGUUAAAAAGAUUAUCAAGAUAACAUUUCUUAUCAAGUUUUAAAAUAACUAAAAACCAGUUAACAAAGGUGGGUAAUUCAUUUCUUAACUCCACAUAAGGAAUAAAAGCCUAAGUUAUGAACUCUUUUAAAUAAAAAGAAAUAAAAUUGAGAGAAUACAAAACUUUUCUGAGCCAUAUUUAUAAAUUUCAUGUUACAAUUAAAUUAUUGAUUAUCUUGUUUGUAGUGCUACAGAGAAAUCAACAUCUUUAAGUUACGGAUAGAAGAAAUGUUCAUCAUAGUUUUUGAAACCAAUGUAAUUAAAUAAAACAAAUUAAUAUAAUUGAUGCAGCCAUUGCAGAAAAUGAAUUGAUUUACAGUUGUACAAAGUACAGAAAAAUUUAUUUAUUCUUACAAUUUAUAAAGUUUUAAUAAUUAUGCUCAACCAAACUACUGCUCUUAAAAAUACGGGGGCACAUUUUGUAAAUGAGAUUCCUCCCUAAGCUGAUACAAAUAAAUUUUAACAUUAUGACAUACAAACGUAAAAAAUGUGGAAAAUAUUGAUCUCUUUGCUUACUAGAUUACAUGAAAGUAAUGUUUAAAAUUCUGCUUAUCCAAACAUUUGUCCAAUAAAUAAUAUAUUUAUAUUACCUAAUAGACUAUCAUGUUCUGAGUAAAAUUAUCAAUUAUGCAGACACUGCAAAUGAGAAAAUUAAAAUUAAAAAAAAAAAAAAAA